rnacentral:rRNA from 1 species
CGUUUGGGCUUCGGCUCGAGCUAGUAGCUAUCAAUUUUAAACCCUUUCUUAAAUACUGAACAUACUGUGGGGACGAAAGUCUCUGCUUUUAACUAGAUAGCAACUUUCAGCAGUGGAUGUCUAGGCUCGCACAUCGAUGAAGAACGCUGCGAACUGCGAUACGUAAUGCGAAUUGCAGGAUUCAGUGAGUCAUCGAAAUUUUGAACGCAUAUUGCACUUCCGGGUUAGUCCUGGGAGUAUGCCUGUAUCAGUGUCCGUA